UGCAGAGGACCUAUGGUUGCAUGAACACCUAUGCAGCAUUCUCAUGUCUGAGCUAACAUCUAGGCUGCAUUUGGCCCCUCCCCUGCGUGAGCUGGGGGCCGCUUGCGGUUGCCUUCAGAGAUAUCUGACAGACAACAGAUUGCUUUCAGUUUCCUCAAAGCUAAAAGCUGUGGGCAUGGAGGGUUAGGGUUACUGGCAUGAUUUGUUUGUUUGGCGAGCUGGUACAGCUGCACCGACGGGUAGGUGGACAGACGCGUGGAUAGAUAGAUAGAUAGACAGAAAAACAGGAGGAUAAGAUAGACAAAUGGAUGAAAGAUAUACUUUAUUGAAAUGGACAAUUCUGGUAUCGCCGCAGCGCGCAGAAAAAAAGUGCAUAAGUGAAAAGACAACACAGAGCACAGAAGACACUGCUACAGAAAUCUGUGGUGGUUUUUCAUUGAGGGGGGUUAGGUUAUGCAGGCACAACUUGGGCUGCACGUUCUACAUGGACCUCACUUUGCGUGGGAUUUCAGCCUACACUCACAUUUCGGGUUACGGUUCACACUACUCACUUCCUGUGGAAGGCAUGUUGGCAUGGCAACACCCCCAACUCUUCUUUUAGUCUGAAGUCCUCCAGACAAACGGCACACGUCUGCUGCAGUGACAUCACAGAGGCAUGAAAGGGUGUACAACAUGUGGAGGCAGAUGGGCAAAGCAGGGAUCCGCACAAUGGUGCUUCCCACACCCGCCGCGUCAGGCCAAAGGACUGCAGGCCCGCGGCAGCUGCAGAGGAAAAGCAACUGCAGACGUGCCCGUGGCUCCAUGAAUCAUCCGGGAAUACCGGUUAUCCGAGGAGGGUGGGAGAGGUUGUUGUCCGCAUUCCCGGAAAUCUGUCCCCACCGUCAACCAUCAGCACCGGUUCACGGGUUUCCCGUUUUUUUUUUGUCAACGACGUUCUGUGAAAGGAGCCCAGGGAACAAUUCUGUGCCCCGGACUUUAUUUAUCCCGUGUUACGGGUGCGAUUCCUUUGUUGUAUUAGUUUCUGCAGCGCAAUUACUCACUGGUAAAUUUGCACCUGGAUGUAACAUACGCCGUCGUAAGUGGAAGAAUCAGAUGAUAAGUCUCCGUUUAUCACAGGGCUUCUAAAAUGACAUUUGCCAAGAAAAGAAAUCACUUUGUGUGCCUGAUUUAGAAAGAAAGAAAAAAAAAGAAUAGGACCUUGUUUCGUUUCAGAAAGCCAUAAAUAUCCCGGCGGACAAAGGCAAGCGAUAAAGAUCCGUCCCUAAUUGUCUGAAUUAGGAAGCACUUAAAGGGCGCCACCAAAGUCUGCCAUGUGCUCCGAAGACCCAGUGCCUUACGCCAGCUAAAACCACUUUUUAUGUAAUAUCGUUCCUAUAUAUACAUUUAUGAUCCAUAUUCUGUAGCUCUGGCACGAACACCUCCGAGUGUAUGUAUGUCAUUGUUUGCAUGCUGUUGUGACACCUGUUAUUUUCUCAGCUAAUAUUUACACGUGAUUAGCUGGCUGUUAACUAUUGAUUGUAUUAAUAAUAGGAUUAGUCAUAAUAUUAAACUGGAUGAGAUCGACGUGGCAAAAAUGAAUAAGAACGCUGACGAACGAUGUCUAGACCUGCUCAGCCUUAGUGACGGCAAUUAGCCGUCACGGACGAUUAAAACCUUGCGCAACUUUUA